UUUUUUUUUUUUUUUCUUAAAUGAAAAGUAUAAGGGAUUUUAACCUCAUAAAGAAUAAGGAAAAUCAAUUAUGGUGAAGAAACAUUUCAUUUCUUACCGUUUAAAUAUUUCCUUCCUAAAUUGAUGGUUGAUGUAAUGUAGGCUGUAAAAAGAGAGGAGGCAGUUCCUGAAAUACCUUGGGCUCUAAAACCCAUUUUGUGAAAUAGCAAUGUAAUUUGAAUAUUUUAGGAACUGACCUCAAUGCUUAGAGCUUCCUUUGUAUGUUCUUAAACGAUGCCUUAACAUCGCAUUUACUUAUAUGUUAACAUGAAAGUUAUAAGUUGUCUUAUUGUAACGUUGACUUGUCCCUUCAGAGAAUCAGCCUUCCAUUAUGCUCAAGUAUUCAUCAACCUUCAGGGCUGGGAUGGUAUAAAAUAAUGGCAUGAGAUAUACCUAAUGCUAGAUGACGAGUUAGUGGGUGCAGCGCACCAGCAUGGCACAUGUAUACAUAUGUAACUAACCUGCACAAUGUGCACAUGUACCCUAAAACUUAAAGUAUAAUUAAAAAAAAAAAAGAAAAAGAAAAUCUAAAAAAAAAAAAAUAAUAAUAAUAAUGGCAUGACCGGGCCAGGCAUAUAAGGAUUUCCCUCCUCUCCUCAUUUUUAUUUUUAUUAUUUUGGGUACACAGUAGGUAUAUAUAUAUAUGAGGUACAUGAGAUGUUUUGAUACAGACAUGCAAUAUGAAAUAAUCACAUCAUAGAUUUCUCUUCUCUGGAAGAACUUACAACCUGUUGAGGUUUGCUAGCAAACCAAACUCUAACAAAGAACACUGUUUAUUUUUUCUUUUCUUUUCUUGAGAUAGAUAUUUUUUAUUUUAAGUUCUGGGAUACAUGUGCAGAACGUGCAGGUUUGCUAUUUGCUGCACCUAUCAACCCAUCAUCUAGGUUUUAAGCCCUGUUUUGAUUUGAAUAUUAUUCAAUACAAAUGAAGAUUGAAAUGUGGACAUUUAUGCUAAGAACAGCUUCUGGAAUUAUAGAUUUGCCUUGUAUUCUUACCAAUUGUAAGACGGAUAAACAAGCAGAAAUUCAAAAUGACAUAAUUAUAUUUCUUUGCAUCUGGAUUUUAUUCUGUUCCUGGUUCAAGUUUCAAGAUUGUCAAGAAUGACGAGUUGGACUUGGUCUAGUUACUUCCACAGCAGCAGGAGGAACAUGUGUGUGACUCAGGAUAACUGGGGAAGCCUUGGCUAGGCUUUCCUCAUGUCAACCUACCACUCAAAGGGAGAAAACCUCCUGAUCAGAGGUGCCCAGAACCCAGGAAAUCCAUAAUUUUUGAAUGCUGGCCGAGGUCUGUGACCUCUGACUGAAUGGUUUCCAAGCUCCGAAUUCCUAGGUGAUGUUUUCAUUUGUUCACACUUGCUGAAGAAGGGAAAGGCUCUCUGAUUUACGUGUAAGCAAAACAAUCUAAACAGUAGGAUAAAAUCAUGUUGGAAUGGAGUUCUGUGUGGAUGCUCCUUUGAACCAAAUCAGUUCCACAACUGACCCUGUCAGGGACAUAUAAAUUUAGCAUUUUGGUGUGGAUACAGAAGACGAGAUUAACACAGAUCAAGUAACAUGGAAAUAAAAAAGGAGACAAUGCUGGAUGAUACAGGGGCAGCCAACAAGAGGAGAAAACCCAAGCAUUGGCAAAUGCCUCAUUAUCCAAAGAACACUGAGGUGUGGAGCAAAACUGUGUUGAAUGAACUGUAGAUGGAAAUUCUCUCCUUCCCACCGAGGAGCCGCUGCAGGUUGCAGACUCCCAGAAUGCCACACUGAGAAGAGGAGGGCUAAAAUUCUAGAGCAGAAUCCCUGGGGCAGCCCCUGCUGAAGAAGGGUGCAUCUGUUGAGAAUCUCAUCACCGCCCCCACCCCGCCCAGCCUUCAAUUUAGAGGAAUUUCUAGUUCACGCAGAAUGAAGACAAGAUCACAUAAGUGAGGACGACGCCCCAUUUACAAGUGUGAUUUGGAAGACUGAAGUGGAAACCUUGGGAAGGGGCCUCAGAGUAUGUCAGCUGGGGUCAGACGGGAACAGGAGUCUGGCUCAACACACAUUUAUUGCACUCCUGUUUCAUGCCAAGAAAUGUACCAAAAUCUGGGACUGUGUAACACAGCAAAGGAAAAGACUCAUCUCCAGGAAGCCCCCUUGUCUAGGAAGAGAAAUUGAAUAUCAGCAUAAGGUGGUGAAAAGCUGUGAAGGAGAUGAGUGCCAGGAGUCCAUGGAGGAAGGAUUCUAGCCUGGACAGGUGAGGAAUGGCUUUCUGGAAGAAGCAGAUGCCCCAGCUGAACUUUAAAAUGCCCAUGUGAAAUGAACUGUCUGUAUCUUCAAUCAGCAAAUGGAGUAGGUGGCCACUGUUUAAUUCUGGAAUGGGGAAGUGUAAAGGUGUGGUGUGUGUGUUUACCCCUACUUAGGGAUUCAAAACAGACAGUAAAGAACAAAAGUCUAGCCCUUUGAGCAUUCUCCAUGGGACAUUUGAGGUCUAGCUGGCCCCAGAGAAAGAGAGACAGAAGCAAGGUCAUAUCCAUUUGAGAAAAUCAAAGUGUCUGCUCCAAUUGAGUCUGGUGUCCUUAUUCCUGGAAUAGCCAUCCCUACUGCUCUGGUGCUGAUUUACCUCCGGCAGUUCAGUGCUUCCUGGAAGGUAGGCUGGGCUUUUUAACAAAGUGACUCCUUACUUGACAUGUUUUACCCAAACACAGAGGCCACUGCACUAUGUGCAAGAAACAACAAAAAAUUAAAUGAGACUCAAUGCCUUCCUUAGGGAUCUAAAACCCCAGUAACACAGAUAAACAGGUAAACAAAUAAUGUGAUGGUGUGAUUCUAUAGCAACAGGAAUAGAGCACUGCAGGGCCACCGAAGGAAAAGGUGAUGACCUGGCUUGGAUUCAGUGAUAAAAAGGGGCUUACCUCCUUUCUCUGUUUCUGCUAAAAGCCAGUGAUUACCCCCUGCUUUUCCCAUGUUGGGCAUAGCUGUAAGUACUUUAGACAUAGCGGCACAUUUAAUCAUCAUGCAACAAUAAGAGGAAGCUGAGGCAGACAGAAGUGCCCAAAGUCACAUACUUGAAGCCAGGACUUGAACCUGGGCUAUCUGGCUCCUGAAUCCAUGGCUUUCACUAAUAAUGACUUACCCUCCAAUGAGGAACAAGCUCCAUUCUGGCCUUUCUUUAGCGAAGGCAACUGCCUGAGCUCAUGGUCUGAUCUGGCUUCUGGGAAAGAGAAAGCAGGGGAAACGUCUAGAGAUGGCAUACUGGGAGAAGAAAUUUCUUGCUGUGGAAUCCUGCCCCCAUCUCCCUCCCCACCAUACACAAUCCCACGUGCAUUUACACCUACACGCCGUGUACACACGAACAUUUUUUCUGCUACUCCCAUGGGCCCCAACUCUGCCUUUUCAUCAAAAUCACCCAGAGUUUUAAAUAAAAUGCAGAUGUUGAGGCUUGUUCCUAAAUUAUAAUCUUGGGCAUCUAAAUUUUUUGAUUAAAAAAAAUUGACAUGCAUGCUUAAAGUAAAAAUUUAGACAAUACAGCAAAGAAUGUGUUUGUACCCCUCCCACCUAGCCCUUAGUUCUUCCGAAAGGCAAAUACUUAACCGUUCCUUGUUAUCCUUCCAGAAAACAAUAUAUGCAUAUAUUCAUCUUUUUUUUCUUCUUCCUCUGUAGGUGAUUGUGGUGAAUAGUCAUGAGAAUCUGGGAACUGGCUCCUGCUCUGUCUAUCUUGGAGAUGCAUCUUUUGUGAGAAGCCAGGGCAAGAAUAGGGAGGCUUAGGCAAUGGGAAGUUUCUGAGUAGAUAAAGCAGAUGGCAGAGCAAAGGGACAGAGCCUGGCGAGAGGCUACUCCCUGUAGCAACCUGCCUAAGAGUGAGAGGAAAGCAAGGCAUGGCUAUGAGCACGUGUAGUCUCAGCUACUUGGGAAGCUGAGGCUGGGGGAUCACUUGAGCCCAGGAGUUCAAGACCAGCCUAGGCAACAUAGUGAGACCAUGUCUCUUUAAAAAAAAAAAAAAAAAGAAAAA
ensembl:lncRNA LINC01206 long intergenic non-protein coding RNA 1206